rnacentral:tRNA from 1 species
GCUUGUGGCUCAGCGGUAACGCGCUCGCCUAGCACGUGGGAGGCCCUGGGUUCCAUCCUCAGCACCGCA